rnacentral:rRNA from 1 species
AACGAACGCUGGCGGCAUGCCUAACACAUGCAAGUCGAACGAACCCUUCGGGGUUAGUGGCGCACGGGUGCGUAACGCGUGGGAAUCUGCCCUUUGCUUCGGAAUAACUCAGGGAAACUUGUGCUAAUACCGGAUGAUGUCUUCGGACCAAAGAUUUAUCGGCAAGGGAUGAGCCCGCGUAGGAUUAGGUAGUUGGUGGGGUAAAGGCCUACCAAGCCGACGAUCCUUAGCUGGUCUGAGAGGAUGAUCAGCCACACUGGGACGGAGACACGGCCCAGACUCCUACGGGAAGCAGCAGUGGGGAAUAUUGGACAAUGGGCGCAAGCCUGAUCCAGCAAUGCCGCGUGAGUGAUGAAGGCCCUCGGGUCGUAAAGCUCUUUUACCAGGGAUGAUAAUGACAGUACCUGGAGAAUAAGCUCCGGCUAACUCCGUG